rnacentral:snRNA from 1 species
AUCGCUUCUCAGCGUUUUGACUAAGAUCAAGUGUAGUAUCUGUUCUUAUCAGUUUAAUAUCUGAUACGUCCUCUAUCUGAGGACAAUAUAUUAAAUGGAUUUUUGGAACUAGGAGUUGGAAUACAAGCUUGCUCCAUGGGCAUCAACCUGGUAUUGCAGUACCUCCAGGAACGGUGCACCCCCU